ACGAACGCUGGCGGCGUGCUUAACACAUGCACGUCGAACGGAAAGGCCUGCUUUCCCUUGUGGAUUGCGGGUACUCGAGUGGCGAACGGGUGAGUAACGCGUGAGUGAUCUGCCCCCAACUUGGGUAUAAGCCUGGGAAACUGGGUCUAAUUCCCGAUAGGACUGCAGGGUGGUGCCUGUGGUGGAAAACGAUUUUCUAGUGGUUGGGGAUGAGCUCGCGGCCUAUCAGCUUGUUGGUGGGGUAAUGGCCUACCAAGGCGGCGACGGGUAGCCGGCCUGAGAGGGUGGACGGCCACAUUGGGACUGAGAUACGGCCCAGACUCCUACGGGAGGCAGCAGUGGGGAAUAUUGCACAAUGGGCGGAAGCCUGAUGCAGCGACGCCGCGUGGGGGAUGACGGCCUUCGGGUUGUAAACUCCUUUCGACCGCGAGGAAGCCACCUGGUUGGAAGGGUGGUGACGGUAGUGGUAGAAGAAGCACCGGCUAACUACGUG
rnacentral:rRNA from 1 species